UACAUGGGGUGCAAACGUUGCUCGGAAUUAUUGGGCGUAAAGCGCACGUAGGUGGUCUGUUAUGUCAGAUGUGAAAGCCCUCGGCUUAACUGAGGAAGUGCACCUGAAACUGGCAGGCUUGAGUACGAAAGAGGGUCGCGGAAUUCCCGGUGUAGAGGUGAAAUUCGUAGAUAUCGGGAGGAACACCGGUGGCGAAGGCGGCGAGCCUGGUUCGAUACUGACACUGAGGUGCGAAAGCGUGGGGAGCAAACAGG
rnacentral:rRNA from 1 species